GGAAAUCAAGUCAAAUAAAAUUAAUUUUCGUCCAAGUUUGGUAUGUUGAGAUAAAAUACGGGCCGAGCGAUAAUACCAGAUAUUUAUGGAGUAAUACCAUUCAAGGUACCAUAUGACCAUGGUAGUAGGAUGUAUAAAUUAUAUUAAAAAUGAGUAGAAUUUUAAAUAAUUUGAGAUAAUUCUUAAUUAUGCGGGUAAUUGGUUAAUUAUCGGAUAGCGGGAUAUUGCCUAAUUAAUUAAUUAGUUGGAUAAGAUUAGAAAUCCCUACCCCAUCCCCAUGUGGCAGUAAGACAAACUUUAAAGAAAUGACUAAGAGUCAUUUCUUACUAGGUGGCAUUUAGUUACACAUUCCUACAUUUCCAAGACUUUCCACAUCAAAGACUUGUCAAUUAAAGAAAGCGAAAAACGUAGCCAUUCUUAUAAAUCCUUCAACAUUCCAUUCUCAAAACAAUUAAGAUCUUAUUUUAUCCUUAAUGCAACGCGAUUCUACAAUUUCAACAAUUCCAGUGAGAAUUUUUAGAUUUUAGCAACAAAGAAAUUUUGCGGUUCUAACGGAGUACGGUGCAAUCUUUCCACGAAUAUUAUACAGAUUUUUUCCUACUCCAGGUAUGAUAAGGCUAAGCUCUUCCUUCAUUUUGCAUGAUCUUGUCAUUACACAAGUUUGAUAACGAGGCAUAAAGAAAAAUUCAUAUCCCGGAAUAUACGUAUAUUUUUCUAGUUUUGUAAGUUACAAUAUUCUCCUUAUCGGGACUUCAUAUUCAAUUGAGUAUUGUUCUUCUUCCAGUCAAGAGAGCAGAAAAUUUAUAUAUACAAUAUUAAAGUGUUUUUAUUACCAUCGAGCUAUAAUCGAUGGGCAGGCCCAUAUUGGGAAACCUCUGAUCAGAUGAUAAGUUGUAUACCGAUCCUACUGUGGCCGAGCGCCUAUGAGCGAGCCUAGUUGGUCGAGAUACAGAGCCUAGUAUGGUUGAGCACCUAUGAGCUAGCCUACUACGGUAGAGCAAUUAUAUAUAUAUAUAUAUAUAUACCGAGCCCUAUAGGGUCGAACAACUAUUUUAGUCAUUAUAUUGAGAGACCUGAGUCAGUAUCAGCAGGUAAGCAUAUCUUCAAAUUAUCUUUGACUUCCAACUACUUGCAGUUAUUAUAUUAUCAGUUCAGUUUCAGCUUUCAAUAUAUUGCCUUACAUACUCGGUACAUUAUUUCAUACUGACGUCCCUUUUCUGGGGCCGCUGCAUUUCAUGCGUUCAAGGUCAGACAAACAGACGGGUAGGCCUCUUUAUUAAGUGUUUCCCAAGUUCAGCUUGAUCGGUAAGCUCCAUGCCUUUCGGAGUUUAUGUGUCUACAGCCUUAUGUACAUCUUGUAUAUAUACGUAUAUAUGUUAUGAGUAGGUCGGAGAGCUGUUCCGAUCACAGUAUAUCCAUCAGUAAAGGCUUGUAGACAUAUUGUGUUAGUUAGUGUAGUAUGUUGGGCUUUCAGGCCUUGUAUGUAUAUUUGGUUGGUUUGUCAGCUAUAAUAAUUAUGACGGCCUUGUCGGCCAAGUUUUAUAUUAACAUUUAGUCGGCAUUCGCAGUCAUCUUGCAAUGUCGCUGAUAGCCAAAGUAUGACAUCAUAUGUUCAGAGUCCCUUAGUUGCAAGUUGGUACACAAAUAUAGGUGAGGCACUGGGUGCCGGUCUCGCCCCCCAAGUUCGGGGCGUGACAAGAGCUGUCAAUUGGAUAAGAAACUGAAGAGUCCAAAGAAGUAGAAGUAGAUGCGCAACUGACUUGCAACCAAUAAGAUCAGAUCGAUCAAGAAUAUCUCGAGCAUACUUAGCUUGAGAAAGAUGAAGACCUGUAGAAGUGCGAGAAAUACGAACUCCUAGAAAAAAAUGAAGAUCUCCAAGAUCAUUAAUAGAAAACGCAGCAUGUAGCAUGUUAGUAAACCAUGAUAACAACGAAGAAUCUGACCCUGUAAGGAUAAUAUCAUCCACAUAAAGGGGAAGAUAUAAAUAUCGUUCUCCAGAUUUAUAAACAAAUAAGGAGCUAUCGCCUUGACUGUUAGAAAAUCCAUGAGAGAUAAGAAAGUGGCCAAAGCGAGCAAACCAAGACCCAGGAGCCUGCUUAAGACCAUAGAGAGCCUUAUGAGUCUUACCAAUAUGAUGGGGAUAGUGAGAAUCCUGAAAGCUUUGUGGCUGCUCCAUAUAAACAGUCCUAGUUAGUAAACCAUUAAGAAAUGCAUUUUUAAUGUCAAACUGACGAAUAUGCCAUCCACGAGAUAAGGAAAUAGAAAGAACCAGUCUAACAGUAGCAGGACAAACCACCGAACUAAAUGUCUCACCAUAGUCCAUACCAUAAGACGGUGUAUAUCCCUUAGCUACUAAACGUGCCUUACAACGAUCAAGAGAUCCAUCAAUUUUUUGCUUAACUCGAUAUACCCAUUUACAACCAACCACAACGAUAUUUGGAGGGCUAGGAAUAAGAGACCAUGUACAAUUAGCUAGAAGAGCAUUAAACUCAUCAUCCAUAGCAUCACGCCGACGAGAACCCUUAACCGCAGAACUAUAACAAGAUGGAUCAACAGAUAAUUAAAAUAAAGACUGAGCAAGUAAAGCAUACUUCUAACUAGGUUUGACAACACCAACUUUUGACCUGGUAACCAUAUGAUGAGAAGAAGGUGGCAAUAAUGAAGUUGGAGGCGCAGAGGAAAUUGAUGUAGAAUGAUUAGGAGAUAUAGGUAUAGAUAGUGUGGAACUAGACGAAGAUAGUAGGGAAGAACUCUUAGGAGUAAUAGAAGAAUGGUCAAGCAAAACCUAAGACGUAUGAGGAUCAAAAACAUCUUAAGAGGGAGCACUAGAGUGUACUGCAGUAGGUGAUACAAUGCGAGAGGACUAAGGCAAUGAGGUAUGACAAGUGAGGAAGAAAAAUUAAGGAAAGAAGGAAGAAAAUGUGGUGUGGUACAGGGAAAGCAAUGUUCGACAAACCGAACAAAUUGAAUUGUAUAAACACAUUGAAUAUCAAGACAGAGUCAUCGAUAUCCUUUGUGAUUGGAACUAUAUCUAAUAAAGAUACAUGGAAUGAGGGAUUAUCUAGUUUGUGAAUUCGAUAAGGGCGCACAUUAGGGUAACAGAGGCAUCCAAAUGGACGUAGAAUAAAGUAGAUGGGAUCAAUCCCAAAAAGAAUACGAAAGGGAGAGGAAUAAUUGAAUAAGGGAGUCGGUGGCCGAUUUAUCAAGUGUGUGGCUGUUUGAAAAGCCUCAUCCCAAAGAUUUAGCGGAGCUUUGACAUGAUAAAUGAGAGUACGAGCCAUAUCAGCGAAAUGACGAUAUUUGCGAUUAGCUACACCAUUUUGUUAUGGUGUGUGAGGACAAGAGUGCUGAAAAAUAAUACCAUUACUAGAAAGAAAUGUUAGAAAUUAUGCACUAGCGAAUUCCACCAUCAGAACGAAAAUAUUUGAUAGAAGUAGAAAAUUGCUUUUCCACAAGAGCUUUAAAUGCACAAAAGCAAUAAAAAACUUCACUUUUAUUCCGCAAUGGAUAUAACCAUAAAUACUUGGAGAAGUCAUCAAUAAAAAUAACAUAAUAUCAAAAUCAAGUAAUAGAGGGAACAAGUGACAUCCAUACAUCAAAGUGAAUCAACUUUAACACAUGAAAAAGAAGUACUAAUAGAAAAUGGUAAUGUAGAAUGAUUAGAAGUCAAACAAGAAUUACAUAAAGAUUGACCCAAGGUUUGUAUAUUUAAAUAAAUAAAAUUAGUAGACCUAAAUGAUACAAGGACUCUAGAUCCUAGUUGACCAAGUCAAGCAUGCCAAAUUGAUGCAGGAACCAAGGAGACAGCUAGGGCUUCUGAUGAAGAGGAAGACAGCAGGUUGAAAAAAUGGAUAGAGAGGCCCAUCAUUGUGGUGUUUGUGGAGGAUUUUCCCCGUAUGCAAAUCCUUCACAACAAAACCCCCAAAAAAAUUCAAUUGAUCAAAUAUUAUCUUUGGUAAACUGACGAAAAGAAAAUAACUUUUACGAAGUAGUUGAACACAUAAGACAGAGGGCAAAGAAAAAGUAUGUGACAAUAUGGUCAAGGAGGAAGAACCAAUAGAAUGAAUAGGAACUGAUUCAGCAUUGCCAACAAGUAUAGAAUUAUUAAAAGUAGGAGUAGGAGAAGAAAUAUUACCUUGUUCAAAAGAUAUGUCUGAGGUCGCUCCUGAAUUCAAGUACCAAUUCUUGUCAAUCGGGGAAUGGAGAGAUAAGGUUGUCAAGUGUGCGUAAGCUGCGGUGGGACAAAAUGAAUAAUUAUGACGAUGCGGUCAAGAGAUAGUUAUAUGGCCAGUCCAUAGGAGUAGUCGGGUUCGACAUGGCAAAUGGAGGCAUCUGAAUAGGAGAAGCACCAAGAACACCCUUAUCGUAUCCAUGAGUAACUAUGAAUUGUUGCCGAACAAUAUGCUGAUAAGGACCUCCAUAAGAAUGUUGAAAAGGAGAACCACGACCUCGUCAACCAGAGCCACGACCAUGACCAAAUUGCCUAUGAUGAUAGUUUCACUAACGACCAAAGUUACCACGACCAGAAGAUGGAUCAACGGGAGAAUAUGAAGUAACAUCAGAAGAUAAACCAGCUAACAAAGCGGUAGGCAUAAGAGCAGAGGCCACAUCAUUUGUAGGUAGAGUGCGCACAUCGUGGGUAAUGAGCAUAGUCCACAACUCUGCAAAAGUUAGAGGAGGGCGUAUAUUUGAAGCCAUAACAAUAAAUGAUUCAUAAGAGACAAGAAAGCCAUUCAAAACACAAUGUACUAAUUCAGGUCCACACCAUGGCUGAUAGAAUGAAGGCAAUUGGCAAAUUCACAUAUCUUUGCCAUGUACGAAUCAAUAGAUAAGUCUCCUUUUUUAAAUGUCUGAAGACUAUGUUUGUACUGUAUCUCACGGGCAAUAUACUAAUGAAGAAAAUGUAUUUUAAGUCUAGACCAAGCAUCAACAGUAGUAGAGAAAUCAUAGAGUAAAGGAAUGAGAUCAAAAUGUAUAGUAGCAUGAAUCCAAGUAAUAAUAAGACGGUCAACCUUACGCCACAUUAGAACCAUCAAUAUAGCAAAAGAGAUCAUACAUCUCCAACACCAGUUGAAGUAAGUGAGUACACUUCAAAUAAUAAGUUUGGUGCAACGUGUCAGGGACAAAAUCC
rnacentral:lncRNA from 1 species